rnacentral:lncRNA from 1 species
UCUCUAUUUUGGAAUCAUCUCAUGCUUUUACUUUUGAGUUGGAUGGACCUUGAGAGAUGAUGUUAGGCUAUGCAUGUUCUAGCCACUAAAUAAAACCACAUGUCCUACCCAUUGUGUGUGCCAUCAACCCUUUGAAGCCAAACACUCAGCCUUUUCUUUCAUCACCCACAAUAUUUCCUUACCUUUUUCACCCUAUUUUUAGUCAUACCCUAUAACUUGGGAUAUGCCAUGGCAUGAAGACAAGGAUGAAGGUUGACCUCUACAUCAACAAAAGAGGUGGCGUGUACCGAGGAAAUAUGUGCUUUAUAAAAAUUAAAAAAAUAAUAAUUAAAAAAAAAAGAAAGAAAAAUAAAUAAUUAAAAAAAAAAAAAAGAAAAAAAAAAGUGAAGCAUAUCAAAAAUCCUGGACGCCUCUGGAGCCUUAUCACGUGAUAAAUGCCUUGGUAUGUCUCAAGUUCUAGUAUUUCCUUCCCUUUCUUUCAUAACCCAUAACCUAGCCCUUCAUUACAACCAUAGUAAAGACCUAACGGAUCUUUGGGGACUUCUUACUCGGAAGUAGAGAUAUGUACUUCAUCUAUGGUUUUUAGUAUUUGAUUUCCUUUCCAUGAGAUCUAUUUUUAGAAAUUGCCUUUUAUUCAUUUUUGGAUGCAUAUGUGUCUUAUAUUUUGAAUUCUUCACCUAACUUCAUUCACAUAUGCGGGGUAAGAGUGCAACCCUAGGUUCUGUGAGAAAAUUGAGAGUUAUCCAGUGAGGCCUAGAGUCGAGAAGAAUUUGUACACACGCCGAAUAUGGUUAUCUUUAUGUUUGAAUGCUUGGAGUUUUGGCUUUACACUUUACACUAUGGUGCAUUUUUUUUGUAGUGGCAUAACUUUAGUUUUUGAAUUGUGAUUGGCAUUCAUUGGUUAUUAUUAGUUUGUUGGAAGUAUUGCUUUAACGAAUUUGUUUUGCAAGAAGUGUUUGUGGGUGUCGUGACUGGUAAACCCUCAGGAGACACAACUCCUCCUACUAGGGACACCUAGAGGUUUAAAGGCUUGUGGCACAUGCUAAGUGCCAUCGAGAUUACCUGCGAAAGUGGUUUAAUUUAGUUAGUUUGUUUUAAUUUAUUUUUGAUUUUCAGUUUUGCUCGAGGACUAGCAAAAGAUAGGUUUGGG